rnacentral:rRNA from 1 species
ACGAACGCUGGCGGCGUGGAUAAGACAUGCAAGUCGAACGGGAGAAUUGCUAGCUUGCUAAUAAUUCUCUAGUGGCGCACGGGUGAGUAACACGUGAGUAACCUGCCUCUUAGUGGGGGAUAGCCCUGGGAAACCGGGAUUAAUACCGCAUACGAUUGAAAGAUCAAAGCAGCAAUGCGCUAGGAGAUGGGCUCGCGGCCUAUUAGUUAGUUGGUGAGGUAACGGCUCACCAAGGCGAUGACGGGUAGCCGGUCUGAGAGGAUGUCCGGCCACACUGGAACUGAGACACGGUCCAGACACCUACGGGUGGCAGCAGUCGAGAAUCAUUCACAAUGGGGGCAACCCUGAUGGUGCGACGCCGCGUGGGGGAAUGAAGGUCUUCGGAUUGUAAACCCCUGUCAUGUGGGAGCAAAUUAAAAAGAUAGUACCACAAGAGGAAGAGACGGCUAACUCUGUGCCAGCAGCCGCGGUAAUACAGAGGUCUCAAGCGUUGUUCGGAAUCACUGGGCGUAAAGCGUGCGUAAGCUGUUUCGUAAGUCGUGUGUGAGAGGAGGAGGCUCAACCCCUAGAUUGCACAUGAUGCUGCGAGAAUAGAGUAAUGGACGGGAAACCGGAAUUCUCGGUGUAGCAGUGAAAUGCGUAGAUAUCGAGAGGAACACUCGUGGCGAAGGCGGGUUCCUGGACAUUAACUGACGCUGAGGCACGAAGGCCAGGGGAGCGAAAGGGAUUAGAUACCCCUGUAGUCCUGGCAGUAAACGGUGCACGCUUGGUGUGCGGGGAAUCGACCCCCUGCGUGCCGGAGCUAACGCGUUAAGCGUGCCGCCUGGGGAGUACGGUCGCAAGAUUAAAACUCAAAGAAAUUGACGGGGACCCGCACAAGCGGUGGAGUAUGUGGCUUAAUUCGAUGCAACGCGAAGAACCUUACCUGGGCUUGACAUGUAAUGAACAACAUGUGAAAGCAUGCGACUCUUCGGAGGCGUUACACAGGUGCUGCAUGGCCGUCGUCAGCUCGUGUCGUGAGAUGUUUGGUUAAGUCCAGCAACGAGCGCAACCCCUGUUGCCAGUUACCAGCACGUCAAGGUGGGGACUCUGGCGAGACUGCCCAGAUCAACUGGGAGGAAGGUGGGGACGACGUCAGGUCAGUAUGGCCCUUAUGCCCAGGGCUGCACACGUACUACAAUGCCCAGUACAGAGGGGGCCGAAGCCGCGAGGCGGAGGAAAUCCUGAAAACUGGGCCCAGUUCGGACUGUAGGCUGCAACCCGCCUACACGAAGCCGGAAUCGCUAGUAAUGGCGCAUCAGCUACGGCGCCGUGAAUACGUUCCCGGGUCUUGUACACACCGCCCGUCACAUCAUGGAAGCCGGUCGCACCCGAAGUAUCUGAAGCCAACCGCAAGGAGGCAGGGUCCUAAGGUGAGACUGGUAACUGGGAUG